rnacentral:rRNA from 1 species
AGUGAACGCUGGCGGUAGGCCUAACACAUGCAAGUCGAACGGCAGCACAGAGGAGCUUGCUCCUUGGGUGGCGAGUGGCGGACGGGUGAGGAAUACAUCGGAAUCUACUCUGUCGUGGGGGAUAACGUAGGGAAACUUACGCUAAUACCGCAUACGACCUACGGGUGAAAGCAGGGGACCUUCGGGCCUUGCGCGAUUGAAUGAGCCGAUGUCGGAUUAGCUAGUUGGCGGGGUAAAGGCCCACCAAGGCGACGAUCCGUAGCUGGUCUGCGAGGAUGAUCAGCCACACUGGAACUGAGACACGGUCCAGACUCCUACGGGAGGCAGCAGUGGGGAAUAUUGACAAUGGGCGCAAGCCUGAUCCAGCCAUACCGCGUGGGUGAAGAAGGCCUUCGGGUUGUAAAGCCCUUUUGUUGGGAAAGAAAUCCAGCUGGCUAAUACCCGGUUGGGAUGACGGUACCCAAAGAAUAAGCACCGGCUAACUUCGUGCCAGCCGCCGCAGUAA